rnacentral:rRNA from 1 species
AGCUGGCUGGUGCCAUGAGGUGACUUCUGCCCAGUGCUCUGAUUGUUACUGCGAAGAGAUUCAGCCAAGCGCGGGUAAACGGCGGGAGUAACUAUGACUCUCUUAAGGUAGCCAAAUGCCUCGUCAACCAAUUAUUGACGCGCAUGAAUGGAUCAACGAGAUUCCUGCUGUCCCUAGUUGCUGUCUGGUGAACCAACAGCCAAGGGAACGGGCUUGGGUGUGUCAGCGGGGAAAGAAGACCCUGUUGAGUUUGACUCUAGUUUGAUGCUGUGCAACGACAUGUGGGGUGUAGCACAGGUGGGAGACCAGCGCCAUGCGUGGACACCAAAGGAGCAGGAGCAGAGAAUGUGACAGGAAAGACUCAGGUGCGAAUCAGCAGUGAAAUACCACUACCUUCACCGUCGUUUUACUCAUCGAGUUGCCUGGGAACGGCAGCCUUGAAUCGGCCUAUCACCUGAUGGACUGUGGCUAAUCCCCGUUUCGUGAGCAAAGUGUGGCCAAUGGUCGCACAACCCUGGAGCUGCAUUCCAAUCAGAAGCCUCGAGACAUUGAUCAGUUGGGGAGUUUGGCUGGGGCGGCACGCCUGUUACAGGACAACGCAGGCGUCCUGAAGCAAUGCUCAGAUGGAACAGAAAUCUCACAUGGAGGAGCAGGCCAAAGGUGCUGCUGAUGCGUCGACUCUCAGUACGAGUCCAAAACGUGCAAGUGUGGCCUUGCGAUCCUUUGGUCAAGCACACGAGUUUGGGAUAUUGAAGCCAGAGGUGUCAGAAAAAUUACCACAGGGAUAACUGGCUUGUGGCUGCCAAGCGUUCAAAGCGACGUCGCUUUUUGAUCCUUCGAUGUCGGCUCUUCCUAGCUUCCCACCCGCAGCCGAGUGGAAGAGUGGAUUGUUCACCCACCAACAGGGAACGUGA